rnacentral:tRNA from 1 species
GGGGAGUUAGCUCAUUUGGUAGAGCGCAGCGAUCGCACCGCUGAGGCGAGGGGUUCGAUUCCCCUACUCUCCA